GACGAACGCUGGCGGCGUGCCUAAUACAUGCAAGUAGAACGCUGAAGGGAGGAGCUUGCUCUUCUUGGAUGAGUUGCGAACGGGUGAGUAACGCGUAGGUAACCUGCCUUGUAGCGGGGGAUAACUAUUGGAAACGAUAGCUAAUACCGCAUAACAAUGGAUGACCCAUGUCAUUUAUUUGAAAGGGGCAAAUGCUCCACUACAAGAUGGACCUGCGUUGUAUUAGCUAGUAGGUGAGGUAACGGCUCACCUAGGCGACGAUACAUAGCCGACCUGAGAGGGUGAUCGGCCACACUGGGACUGAGACACGGCCCAGACUCCUACGGGAGGCAGCAGUAGGGAAUCUUCGGCAAUGGGGGCAACCCUGACCGAGCAACGCCGCGUGAGUGAAGAAGGUUUUCGGAUCGUAAAGCUCUGUUGUAAGUCAAGAACGAGUGUGAGAGUGGAAAGUUCACACU
rnacentral:rRNA from 1 species